AUGGAUGGAGCUCCUUCCCCUCCCCUCGAUCUCACACAGGGCAACAAAAAAUCCCCACUAAGAACUAGAUCCAUGACCUCUUCCUCCCCUUUCUUUCUCCCCCGCGCGAAGCCUUUAUCCUUCAGUUACAUCCAUGGCAUCACCGGACGGCAGUUUAGAUCCAUCACGAGCGAUGUUGCAUCCACAACAACCACAUGCUGGAACCAGCCAGGCGCGGUGCUGGAACUGGCAAGGGGCGAUGCUGCGACCAAGGCUAGAUGCUGGAAGCGGCAAGGCACGGUGUUGGAACCAGCCAUGCGCGAUGCUGGAACCGACAAGGGUCUGUGUUGCAACCAGGCCAGACGCAGAAAGCGGCAAGGCGCGGUGAUGGAACCAGCCAACGACGAAAAGAUCCGGCGAGUAUUUUGUUUUGCUGGAACCAGCUUCAAAUUUUGCUACUACCAUAGUCUUCAACUUCUAUUGAAACCAACCAAUUUUUUGCUACCACGAUUUUUUCUUUGCUGGAACCAGUGUGCGAAUUUGCUACAACCGUUUUUGAUUUUUGCUGGAAUUAACCAAAAGUUUGCUGCCAUGUCCUUUUUGGCUGUAAUCAUUUUCACCACUUAUGCUAGAACCGUUUUGGAUUUUGCUACUAUCGUUUUGUCAGAUCGUUACAUCCAUUUUUCAUGA
rnacentral:rRNA from 1 species